GUGUCGCUAAUGCAACGGUUCAGCACGCGCUCGUGGAAAGAGUGAAGUCUGGGUUCAAGUCCCAGCUGACGCA